GGGGAUUUAGCUCAGUGGUAGAGCGCUUGCCUAGGAAGCGCAAGGCCCUGGGUUCCAUCCCCAGCUCCG
rfam:Rattus norvegicus chromosome 1, whole genome shotgun sequence.